rnacentral:rRNA from 1 species
AUGAAGAUGGACAGCGAUUUCCAUAUGGCCAAGGGAGAAGGAGAGACCAGCUAUGUCAAGAACUCUACCCAUCAGAAGAAAGCUUUGAUUCGGACUAAGCCGGUGCUCGAAAAGGCGGUGAUAGAAGUGUGCAUGGAUUUGCUCCACCCAACAAUGACAGUUGUUGACCUAGGCUGCUCUUUAGGUGAAAACACACUCAUCUUUGUCUCCAACGUGAUCGAAGCAAUAUGCUGCAAUCAUGGCAAGCUUCGUGGCAACCUCGUGGAGCUCCAAGUCUUCCUCAAUGAUCUACCAGGAAACGACUUCAACCGUGUGUUCCAGUCACUUGAGCAGUUCAAGGAGUCAAUUACAGUAACUCAUAAGCUAGAAGCACCGCCACCUUUUUAUAUUGCCGGGCUACCGGGCUCCUUCUACACCAAGCUUUUUCCUCGUCACAGUGUUCAUCUGUUUCACUCAUCAUAUUGCCUUCAUUGGCGCUCUGAGCUCCCGGAUGGAUUUGCGGCCAAGAGAGAAAUGUAUCUAAACAAAGGAAACAUUUAUAUUGCGAGGACUACACCACCAUCUGUAGUUAAAUUAUACCAGGAGCAUUUUGAGAAGGAUAUGUCGUUGUUCCUCAAGCUACGAUAUGAAGAACUGGUGCUCGGCGGACAAAUGGUACUGACAUUUCUUGGGAGAAAAACAGAGGACGUCUACAAUGGAGAUAUGAACCAGCUCUAUGGAUUAAUUGCACAAUCUUUGGAAUAUCUUGUUGAAGAGGGCCUCCUAGAGAGGGGAAAACUCAACUCCUUUAACCUACCCUUUUAUGGUCCAUCACUAACUGAAGUCAAGAUGGUGAUCAAGCAAAGUGGACUAUUCGACAUAAAUCACGUCGAAUUGUUCGAAUCCAACUGGGAUCCUUGCGACAACUCGGAAAGCAAUGAAGUGCACGACCCCCUCCGAAGCGGCAUGAAUGUGUCCAAGAGUUUGAGGGCAGUGAUGGAGCCCCUUUUUACAAGCCAUUUUGGUGAAUCUGUGCUCGACAUACUCUUCGAAAAAUUCGCGUACAAUGUCACGGAACACCUUGCGAGGGAGAAGACAAAAUAUUCCAUCAUUGUUCUGUCCUUGAAAAGAAAAUAA